rnacentral:tRNA from 1 species
GGGUCUGUAGCUCAGGUGGUUAGAGUACACGCCUGAUAAGCGUGAGGUCGGAGGUUCGAUUCUUCCCAGGCCCA